UGCAUUCUUCCAAAUUGUGGUGGUUCCACAGGACUUUCACCAUCGGGAUUUCCUUGUUUCUUAGCUUUCUGAUCUGGGUGUCUAUGAUCCGUACUGGCUGUUCAACAUAGGUGAGAUCCUCUUGGACCUCCACAUCAGGCUCACUAAGAACCUUGCUCGGAUCCGACACAAACUUCCUCAACAUUGAAACAUGGAAAACCGGAUGGAUUCUUUCCAUUGAAGCAGGUAAAUCCAGCUUGUACGA
rnacentral:lncRNA from 1 species